rnacentral:piRNA from 1 species
UNCUCAGACUUUGGGACCAUGGUGAUGCCC